rnacentral:rRNA from 1 species
AGUCGCCGCGGGAAUACGAAGGGUGCAAGCGUUACUCGGAAUUACUGGGCGUAAAGCGUGUGUAGGUGGUUGUUUAAGUCUGUCGUGAAAGCCCUGGGCUCAACCUGGGAAUUGCGAUGGAUACUGGGCGACUAGAGUGCGGUAGAGGAUAGUGGAAUUUCCGGUGUAGCAGUGAAAUGCGUAGAGAUCGGAAGGAACAUCUGUGGCGAAGGCGACUAUCUGGGCCAACACUGACACUGAGGCACGAAAGCGUGGGGAGCAAACAGGAUUAGAGACCCGAGUAGUCCCUGUCUCUUAUACA